AUUGAACGCUGGCGGCAGGCCUAACACAUGCAAGUCGAGCGGAUGAAGGGAGCUUGCUCCUGGAUUCAGCGGCGGACGGGUGAGUAAUGCCUAGGAAUCUGCCUGGUAGUGGGGGAUAACGUCCGGAAACGGGCGCUAAUACCGCAUACGUCCUGAGGGAGAAAGUGGGGGACCUUCGGACCUCACGCUAUCAGAUGAGCCUAGGUCGGAUUAGCUAGUUGGUGGGGUAAAGGCCUACCAAGGCGACGAUCCGUAACUGGUCUGAGAGGAUGAUCAGUCAACCUGGAACUUAGGCACCGGUCCGACUUCCAAGGGAAGCCACCGUUGGGAAUAUUUGACAAUGGGCGAAAGCCUGAUCCAGCCAUGCCGCGUGUGUGAAGAAGGUCUUCGGAUUGUAAAGCACUUUAAGUUGGGAGGAAGGGCAGUAAGUUAAUACCUUGCUGUUUUGACGUUACCAACAGAAUAAGCACCGGCUAACUUCGUG
rnacentral:rRNA from 1 species